rnacentral:rRNA from 1 species
AUUGAACGCUGGCGGCAUGCCUUACACAUGCAAGUCGAACGGUAACAGGUCUUCGGAUGCUGACGAGUGGCGAACGGGUGAGUAAUACAUCGGAACGUGCCCGAUCUUGGGGGAUAACGAGGCGAAAGCUUUGCUAAUACCGCAUACGAUCUACGGAUGAAAGCGGGGGAUCUUCGGACCUCGCGCGGACGGAGCGGCCGAUGGCAGAUUAGGUAGUUGGUGGGAUAAAAGCUUACCAAGCCGACGAUCUGUAGCUGGUCUGAGAGGAUGAUCAGCCACACUGGGACUGAGACACGGCCCAGACUCCUACGGGAGGCAGCAGUGGGGAAUUUUGGACAAUGGGCGAAAGCCUGAUCCAGCCAGGCCGCGUGCAGGAUGAAGGCCUGUGGGUUGUAAACUGCUUUUGUACGGAACGAAAAGACUCUUUCUAAGAAAGAGGGGUCAGGACGGUACCGGAAGAAGAAGCACCGGCGAACUACGG